rnacentral:rRNA from 1 species
GGGGGGGGGGGGGGGGGGGCGGGGGGCAGGGGAGGCGAGCGAACGGGCGGGGGGGGUGCUGCUGGGGCGGUAGGGGGGGAGGGGGGAGUAAAGCGUGGGUCGACUGGCGUUAAGACUUGGUGACGUCGGGGCACCGGGGCGGAGACCGGGGAAUAGAGUGAACUGCAUGGUUCAAUGGUGAAAGGCGUUUCGGCUGUCACUGAUCUAGCGAACCGCGCCGCAUGAGCUUGUGGUUAAGGGUACCGCUUAGCCAGGCAACGACGCGUAGCCUACCUGAGAGGGUGAUCGGCCACACUGGAACUGAGACACGGUCCAGACUCCUACGGGAGGCAGCAGUAGGGAAUCUUCCGCAAUGGGCGAAAGCCUGACGGAGCAACGGCGCGUGAGUGAUGAAGGUCUUCGGAUCGUAAACCUCUGUUAUUAGGGAAGAACAAAUGUGUAAGUAACUAUGCACGUCUUGACGGUACCUAAUCAGAAAGCCACGGCUAACUACGUG